CAGAACCGGAGCCUGGAGGCGGCGAAGCAGACCAAGGGGCGGGCGGUCAUGUGACGCCCGGACCCGCGACUUGUGGCCGGCAGGGCGAGCUGGGGCACGGGGACCGCUCUGACCCAGGGACGUGUCUGCCUCUGGGACGUAGACAGGUGCACGAGCGCCGUAAGGGAUGUCCAGGUGCCCAGGCCGAAUGGUGCACCCCUGGACGUGCACAGGAACUGCCAAGUUCUGAGGGAUAGUGCUCAGCGACCCUCCUUCCUGGCCCAGAACAAGAGAAGAUGCUUGAUGGGGUGAGCAGGUUGGGGUAGGAGGCACAAAGGCCUCACUAUUAAUAUCAACAAUAAUAGCUCUAUGACUAUAUAGUUACACGCUAAUAACUGACCCAUCGUUGCACUUGCUCAGGGCCAGGUACUGGGAGGAGCAUUCUGUUGCAGGAUCGUCUCUAAUUUUGAUGACACUUGUAACACAUCAUUAACUCCUUUUGCCUUUGAG
rnacentral:lncRNA from 1 species